CUUGACCGACCCCAGCCACAACGGCCGUCCCUCGGAGCGCCCCUGACCGUACGUCGCCAGCAGCGCCUGCGCCUC
rfam:Saccharothrix sp. ST-888 contig-780, whole genome shotgun sequence.